AGGGUAUGGAUUUGGCAGGCUGUCGUCAGCUGCGAUUGGAACCCUGAAGAAGGAAAAUUGCGAGCUGAGGUCAGCCAACUAUCAACUUAAGGCAUGAUGUGAAAGUCAGAAUACUACUUGGCAGCUAUUAAGGAGACUCUCAUAUCCUAGAGCCAGAGGGCAGAAUGUGCUGAGAAUGCUACGAAGAUCUGGUUGUAAAAGUGGUAGAGUUACAAAGGAGACCGAAUAUACAGCCCCAGCAAAUCUCCUAUGCUAAAGAAGGAAGAAUAACAGAGUAAUCACUAGAAGAGUUGAAGGUUGAGCUGGAAAUAUGGAGGAAGCCGUAAAGAUGGAAUGGAACUGAUGUUACACAUAUUAUCUUAUUGGACCUCACAACAAUUCCAUGAGCUUGAACUCCAAGUCUACCUUGUGAAGAAACCUAGGCUAGUCCAUUGGAAGAUGAGACACCAUGUGAAGUCUGUUGCAGAGACCAGUCAUCCCAGCUGAGGCCCAUUACAUGAACUAGCCUGACAGCCGCCAGACACAUGUGUGAGGACAUCCUAGACCAUCUGGUUUCAGUUUCAACAGAGUCUCUAGCUGAUUGCAGAGAUCAGGCAAGUCAGCCUGGAGCAGAACUGCCCAGCAGAUCCACAGAAUGCACUGUAUUUACCUCGGAUAAUUAAUUUGUGAAACAGGACCAGAAAGCGAUAUACCAAUUUCUAUAUAAGUAGCAGCAAAUCCAUUCAAUUUAUUAAUGUCAGAAGAAACUAAGACCUACAUUUUAAAGACUGUGUUUUCUAUGUUAGAGUGAAUAAAAGGGCAAUGAUGUUUAGAAGAAUUGAGUUGGAAAGGUCAGUGUUGGAAAGCACAAACCUGGUUAAGCUAAAGAGGAGCUAGAUAUCUCUGAUAGCUUCAACAGAAACAAAGCAGUCAGAGAAAAUUCCUACCCAUGAAUUAAAUUUUAG
rnacentral:lncRNA from 1 species